rnacentral:rRNA from 1 species
AUGGAACGACAAGCCCACAACAGAAGAAGAAACACACCCAUUCGGGUGCGGCCCAGGAAAGCACCACAAACCCCACAGCCACUCUCUCCACCGCUAAGCCGCCGCCCUUCUCGCCCCCGCCGCCGCCCCCGGGCCGCCGCCGCAGCCAUGCUCCCGCUCGCCCGCACGGCCCUCCGCCGCCUCGGCCCCGCGGCCGCGGGGGACGGCUCCCUCCCCGGCCGCCUCCUCCUCCUGGCGCCGCUCGCCUCCAAGCCGUCGUCGUCCACGCCGCCGGAGUACCAGAUGCCGUCGGUGACGUGGGGCGUGAUCCAGGGCCGCAGGGAGCGGCUCGUGUCCCGCGUCCUCGCGCUCGACUUCCUCCGCUCGGCCGGCGUCACCGACCCCGCGGGCGAGCUGGAGGCCGUCGAGCUCCCCUCCUCCCUCGACGUGCUGCAGGAGCGCCUCGACUUCCUCCUCCGCCUCGGCCUCUCCACCGACGACCUCUCCGCCUACCCGUUCCUCCUCGCCUGCUCCCUCCGCAAGAACGUCAUCCCCGUCCUCUCCUACCUCGAGAAGCUCGGGGUCACGCGCGCCCGCCUCGCCGCCUUCGUCCGCGCCUACCCGGCCUGCCUCCACGCCUCCGUCGCCGUCGACCUCGCCCCCAUCGUCAAGGCGCUCCGCGGCCUCGACGUCGACCGCCAGGACAUCCCCCGCGUCCUCGAGCGCUACCCGGACGUGCUCGGACUCAAGCCCGACGGCACCAUCAGCACCUCCGUGGCCUACCUCGUAGGCAUCGUCGGCGUCGCGCCGCGUGACAUUGGCCCCAUGGUGACGCACUACCCUUUCUUCCUUAGCAUGCGUGUUGGCACCACGAUCAAGCCGUUCUGUGAUUACAUCACAUCUCUCGGGCUGCCGAUGCGGAUUCUCGCGAGGAUUAUUGAGAAGCGGCCAUACAUUCUUGGCUAUGAUCUUGAGGAGACGGUAAAACCAAAUGUGGAGGCAUUACUCAGCUUCGGCAUUCGGAAGGAGGUGCUGCCACUCAUGAUUGCACAGUACCCAUCCAUUCUUGGGUUGCCCCUGAAAGUGAAGCUAGCGGCACAGCAAUACUUCUUCAACCUGAAGCUCAAAAUGGACCCUGAUGGGUUUGCCCGAGCUGUCGAGAAACUGCCGCAGCUCGUGAGCUUGCAUCAGAAUGUGAUACUGAAGCCCGUGGAGUUCCUCCGCGGCCGGGGGAUCACUGAUGAUGAUAUUGGGCGUAUGUUGAUCCGGUGCCCCCAAAUUCUUCUGCUGCGGAAUGAGCUCAUGAAGAACAGCUUUUACUUCUUCAAGAGUGAGCUGAAGCGGCCAAUAAGUGAGCUUCUGGAGUACCCAGAGUAUUUUACAUACAGCUUGGAGUCAAGGAUCAAGCCUAGGUACAUGAGAGUGGCAAGCAAGGGGAUCAGAUGUAGCUUGGAUUGGUUUCUGAACUGCAGCGAUCAGAGGUUUGAGGAAAGGAUGCGAGGGGAUUUUAUUGAAGGGGAUGCACCAGGUCCUUCGUUUACAAUGGGUGGGAAGCUUCAGAUGCCUGGCAACCAGUUAGUGUCGGAUGAUGAUAAUGAGGAAAGCGACGAUGAGGUGCUAUAUAGGCGGACCGUCAUGCUCUAA